GAAAAGCUGGGCCGGAAAAGUGGGAACCUCUAGGGCGCCGCCCUGUUGCUACUGGUCAAUGUGGCCAGCGCAAUUACUAUUGAAAGAGCUGAAAACAAGUACAGGUCACCUUAUGCUUUGUCAUCUAAAAACGCAUACCUGAUGGCUUUAUGAAGGUGGUGCGUUAAUAUUAAGUUUACAGAAAGCGAUCGCUAAGUCCGUGACUUAUGUAAAUCACGAUGUACGCAUUCAUGCAAUAAAGGAUGACGCGAAUUUCGGUUUCGAAUCUGUUUUUUUUUUUUUGGAUGCGUAGUAGUUUCGUACAGUUUAGGUUUGACAUGCGAUCGCGCGGUUUGACAUGCAUCGGACGCUAUGACACACUCGUGCCUUAUGUGCCACCGAAGCCCCGAAGUGCUCUCGCAUAUACCUUCACAUGUAAGUAAACGAAUGUAUCUCCUUGUUGAGAAUAUCACGCGAGUAGGCAGCUCUUGUGGUGCAUCACAAUCGUUUGAGAAGCGUCACAGUAGAGCAUUUUGCUACAUGCGGAGCGGUGUUUUUAUUUGCAGGUUUCCCUUCAGUAGGACAGGCGGACCAGCGCACCGGAAUUGUACUGGCGAAGCCACAAGCAACUCAAAGAAUCUGUUUAAUUGUUGCACUUUGAACAAUUAUGCUUCUACAGAAGUCACAGCAGAAAAACAGCCUGAUGCCGAGUAUUUCUGUGCCAUGAAGUAAUCAAGGGGCGAGUGCCUAAUGCGGACGAAAUCGAGUGCAUCGAGACUUAGAACGACAGAAAGCUGAGCUAGUUGAUAUGCAAUGGCAAGCCCUUCCGUGUGUUCCAAAGGUAAAAUUUAAGCUCUAAAAUAAAGAAGACAUUUCUAGUCAGAAAGAAGCAAAAAUGGUGAAUGCAGAGUAUCAGAAGCCCAAGGUACAGAAAUUAUGAGAAGUGUCGAAUGAUUUUAAGGAAAGAGUCGUAUUUGAAAAUGCAAGACUCUUUAGUGGAGGUCAAGCAAGUCAAUAUAGGUAGAAUACUCUGCAAAAUUAUGCGAGUGAGGGGAUGUCAAACAAUGGGUCAGGAAAUUCGUUGUUUUUCUGCAAAACAAAUGCUGAUUGCCAUUACACAAGUCACUUUAGCAUCAUGAGACUGCUGCUUGAUAAAUUCAGAAAUAAACCAAAAAACAAGACACGCAAAAAUAAAAAACAAUUUAAUGGUGCUCUCUCCACACUGGGAUAAAUAAAAACAAACACAUCACAUCUAAUGUGGACAUAUCAGACGCCUUGUGAAACACUAAAGGAAAAAUUCAGUUUCGAGCUAUGGCACUUGCCGCAUAGAUGUGGGGGGCCUUGCACUAAUAGUGAUAGUUACCACUGCAUUUAGAAAUUGAAAGCAUUCAUGCAGACAAGGAUGAUUCUUUAUAUUUUUGGCUACCACUUCAAAUGCCUCCACCAAAUGUUACAAUGCUACACGCAGCCAUACUAAGGAUCUCUCAGCAACACCUGCAGGUAAAAAGCAGAUGCAGUCAAAGUGCUGGUGUGUACUGGACACUAUGUUCGAAAACUUUUAGGCAAGAAGAGUGCAAGAAGCAGACAUAACAACUGCAUUUAUUUCCAUAAUUCCCCAUUUGAAUGGCCUUUUCUUUUUGCUUAGACAAUGCCGAUGCCUAGCCACAGCAGCUCCCUCAUACAGACUCCGCAAGCCAAGAGGCCGUGGAGGCAAAUGCAGGCAGCCAGCACACCUCGAAGAGCCACCUUGACUGCGGGUGUGUCACCCUAGUCGCCAAGGAAACAUUUGAGGGAAAGCGACGGGCAAUGUGAACAGCCACUUCUCCAUGUAAACGAUACUCUUUCUCUCGGAUGACUCCUAUGCCUCGCCACACCAGCACAGUUGUGCACAAAGAUGCCGUGGAGGCGCGUGCAGGUCAGAGGCAAGAAGCAGUGGCACUGGUGUCGACAUUCACCCAAUUUCUUUUUCUUACACUGAGGCAGCCAGCACACCUCGAACAGCCACCUUGAUUGCGGGUGUGUCUGUAGAUUCCUGUUGUACAUAUGCUCAUAAUAAACUUCAGUAAACUUGAACUUGAUAAUAAACUUGAAGGCAAAUGG